rnacentral:rRNA from 1 species
AUUGCCCUAGUAACGGCGAGUGAAGCGGCAACAGCUCAAAUUUGAAAUCUGGCCUCCUUUGGGGGUCCGAGUUGUAAUUUGCAGAGGGUGCUUUGGCGUCGGCAGCGGUCUAAGUUCCUUGGAACAGGACAUCACAGAGGGUGAGAAUCCCGUACGUGGUCGCCUGCCUUCGCCGUGUAAAGCCCCUUCGACGAGUCGAGUUGUUUGGGAAUGCAGCUCUAAAUGGGAGGUAAAUUUCUUCUAAAGCUAAAUACCGGCCAGAGACCGAUAGCGCACAAGUAGAGUGAUCGAAAGAUGAAAAGCACUUUGGAAAGAGAGUCAAACAGCACGUGAAAUUGUUGAAAGGGAAGCGCUUGCAGCCAGACUUGCUCGUAGUUGCUCAUCCGGGUCCGCCCGGAGCACUCUUCUGCGAGCAGGCCAGCAUCAGUUUGGGCGACCGGAUAAAGGCCUCUGUCAUGUAUCUUCCUUCGGGAUGACCUUAUAGGGGAGGCGUAAUGCGGCCAGCCCGGACUGAGGUCCGCGCUUCUGCUAGGAUGCUGGCGUAAUGGCUGUAAGCGGCCCGUCUUGAAACACGGACCAAGGAGUCUAACAUCUAUGCGAGUGUUUGGGUGUCAAGCCCGGGCGCGUAAUGAAAGUGAACGGAGGUGGGAACCCUCUCCGGGGGGUGCACCAUCGACCGAUCCUGAUGUCUUCGGAUGGAUUUGAGUAAGAGCAUAGCUGUUGGGACCCGAAAGAUGGUGAACUAUGCUUGAAUAGGGUGAAGCCAGAGGAAACUCUGGUGGAGGCUCGCAGCGGUUCUGACGUGCAAAUCGAUCGUCAAAUUUGGGCAUAGGGGCGAAAGACUAAUCGAACUAUCUAGUAGCUGGUUCCUGCCGAAGUUUCCCUCAGGAUAGCAGUAACGUAUUCAGUUUUAUGAGGUAAAGCGAAUGAUUAGAGGCCUGGGGGUUGAAACAACCUUCACCUAUUCUCAAACUUUAAAUAUGUAAGAAGUCCUUGUUACUUGAUUGAACGUGGACAUUUGAAUGUACCGUUACUAGUGGGCCAUUUUUGGUAAGCAGAACUGGCGAUGCGGGAUGAACCGAACGCGGGGUUAAGGUGCCAGAAUGCACGCUCAUCA